rnacentral:ncRNA from 1 species
GCGGAGGGACGACCUUCCAAUCUCACAGCUCAUCCGCGGGGACGACCCUG